rnacentral:rRNA from 1 species
UUUGGGCGCGUCUCCCUUCUCGGGAGACUCUCUCAACCCCACGAACCCUUGACCUCAAAUCGGGUGAGACUACCCGCUGAACUUAAGCAUAUCAAUAAGCGGAGGAAAAGAAACUAACAAGGAUUCCCCUAGUAACUGCGAGUGAAGCGGGAAAAGCUCAAAUUUAAAAUCUGGCGGUCUCUGGCCGU